AGCCUUAGGCUACUUUUAAGGUGAGUCCUGCCCAGUGAGAUUUUUUUAACGGCCGCAGUACCUUGACUGUGCUAAGGUAGCGUAAUCAGUUGGCUUUUAAUUGGAGUCGAGAAUGAAUGGGCUAACGGGGGCCAGCUGUCUCUAAUUUGCUUUAUUGAAUUUACUUAGGGGGUGAAAAUUCCUCCUUUUAGAAAAAAGACGAGAAGACCCUUGGAGUUUUGAAUAAAAGUUUUAACACUUCCUUUUUUGUUGGGGCGACACGAAGGCAUACUUAACCCUUCUUUUAUAGGAUAUACUUGACGGAUUUUUCAAGCUAGAUUUAAACUACCCUAGGGAUAACAGCAUAAUGUUUCUUUAAGCUUGUGACCUCGAUGUUGGACUAGGAACUAAAUGACUAGCCGUCAAGUUAGUUUGUUCUGUUCGAACUUUUUUCUCCUACAU
rnacentral:rRNA from 1 species